GACUCCUACGGGAGGCAGCAGUGGGGAAUCUUGGACAAUGGGGGAAACCCUGAUCCAGUCAUGCCGCGUGUGUGAAGAAGGCCUUAGGGUUGUAAAGCACUUUCAGCGAGGAAGAAAUAUUAUAAACUAAGAAUUUAUAAAAAUGACGGUACUCGCAGAAGAAGCACCGGCUAACUACGAGCCAGCAGCCGCGGUAAUACGU
rnacentral:rRNA from 1 species